AAGUGGACCAAAAUCGGGAUGAAAUAACCCGCUGUCGGUCCGGGUUACUGUUCAUCCGGGUGGAAAAUAAGAAAUUUCAUCCCAUAAUAGGGUAUUAAGCCUAGAUUAGGCUAAGGGAAACCUUGUACUCGUGCAAGGGAGUCCCUAAUACACAUAAAUGAUGAGUUAAUUAAUAGAAAAAGAAAAAAGUGAAAGAAAAAAAAAGAUUUAGGG
rnacentral:lncRNA from 1 species